CCUACGGGAGGCAGCAGUGAGGAAUAUUGGUCAAUGGGCGCAAGCCUGAACCAGCCAUGCCGCGUGCAGGAAGACGGUCCUAUGGAUUGUAAACUGCUUUUAUUAGGGAAUAAACCUAUUUACGUGUAGAUAGCUGAAGGUACCUAAUGAAUAAGCACCGGCUAACUCCGUGCCAGCAGCCGCGGUAAUACGGAGGGUGCAAGCGUUAUCCGGAAUCAUUGGGUUUAAAGGGUCCGCAGGCGGGAAGAUAAGUCAGUGGUGAAAUCUCACAGCUCAACUGUGAAACUGCCAUUGAUACUGUCUUUCUUGAAUUCGAUCGAAGUGGGCGGAAUAUGACAUGUAGCGGUGAAAUGCUUAGAUAUGUCAUAGAACACCGAUAGCGAAGGCAGCUCACUAGGUCUGGAUUGACGCUCAGGGACGAAAGCGUGGGGGAGACAAGAGUAGUAGUACCUACCGUAGGUACGUACCGCCGGUAACCGUAAACGUCUAUAACUCGUCCUACGUCGUCCGGUCGUCCGGUAAGUUGGGGUCCCGAAGUUCCGGAAGGUACGACUAAACCGUUAACGGUUAGUUAACGACCCUAGGGGUUACCGGUACCCGUAGGGUACGGUCCCGGUAACGGUUCGGAAAACGGUUACGUUAAAAACCGGUAAACGUUAAAGGGAAACGGUUACGGGUUACGGUUACGGUUACGGUUACGGACCGGACGGGACCGGACCGGACCGACGGGAACGGGUAGGGGUUAGGGAGG
rnacentral:rRNA from 1 species